rnacentral:rRNA from 1 species
CAGUAGCCGCGGUAAUACAGAGGGUGCGAGCGUUAAUCGGAUUUACUGGGCGUAAAGGGCUCGUAGGCGGUUUGUUGCGUCGGGAGUGAAAUCCUACAGCUUAACUGUGGGCUUGCUUUCGAUACGGGCAGACUUGAGGCAUUCAGGGGAGAACGGAAUUCCUGGUGUAGCGGUGAAAUGCGCAGAUAUCAGGAGGAACACCGGUGGCGAAGGCGGUUCUCUGGGAAUGUUCUGACGCUGAGGAGCGAAAGUGUGGGGAGCGAACAGGAUUAGAUACCCGUGUAGUCCCUGUCUCUUAUAC